CCUACGGGAGGCAGCAGUGGGGAAUAUUGCACAAUGGGGGAAACCCUGAUGCAGCGACGCCGCGUGAGUGAAGAAGUAUUUCGGUACGUAAAGCUCUAUCAGCAGGGAAGAAAAUGACGGUACCUGACUAAGAAGCCCCGGCUAACUACGUGCCAGCAGCCGCGGUAAUACGUAGGGGGCAAGCGUUAUCCGGAUUUACUGGGUGUAAAGGGAGCGUAGACGGCAGCGCAAGUCUGGAGUGAAAUCCCAUGGCUUAACCAUGGAACUGCUUUGGAAACUGUGCAGCUAGAGUGCAGGAGAGGUAAGCGGAAUGCCUAGUGUAGCGGUGAAAUGCGUAGAUAUUAGGAGGAACACCAGUGGCGAAGGCGGCUUACUGGCCUGUAACUGACGUUGAGGCGCGAAAGCGUGGGGAGCAAACAGGAUUAGAUACCCCAGUAGUC
rnacentral:rRNA from 1 species